ensembl:lncRNA
GUCCCGCCCGCCCCUCUGUCGCUUCCUCCUCGGCUGCUGUGAGUUUCAGUACGCCGGCGCGCAGGGACCGCGAAAGGCUGACCGGGGGCCGAGUGAGUGACACAUUUAGCACUCGGGUAGCGAUGGAUGUUCCCAGGUCCGUCUCCCGCGUGGCCACUUGAACUUGGUGAUCGUAUCUUGGAGCCGGCGGGCGUCAAAUCGAUGCUGUAGAUGCCGUUGGGUGUGAACGGGCCUCAUCUCUUCAGCUUGUUGUCAGGUCACACAUUCACAUGGCAGCCGCACGAUAUCCGCAGGAAGCCGCUUCGAUGAACCCGUCCGGGGAGCGGGCAACUCGUCCCAAAGCUGGCUGAUGCAUCAAGACCCUGAAUGCUAAAGAAGGAGGCCUUAUUCCGGACGUCCCUUCCUUCAGACGUUGCCGACGCAUCGGCCAUCGGCCUCCGUCCAGAGCAGAACAUCACAGAUGAUGUCAUACUCCAUGGGGGAUUCGGGGCUGAGGUUUUGGUGGAGCGUGGAUGUGUGUCUGUGUCGACCUCCGGUUGCGUUCUUCUUUGGUUUGACAGACGAGGCCUCACGGACACUUUCGCGCCGUUUGCUCCACUGGAGAGGAGCUGUGGUGUGUGAUGGGUUUACUGAGCAACUAGACCACAGCGGUGUGUGUUUUCAGGCCUGGCACCUGUUGCACCUUCCACGGUGCAGGAAAUCACAGCCGGACAGUCUGUUAUUUUGAAAAUGAUUUUUAUUGGGAGAACUACAAAAUAAAUGUACAGCACAAAGUUAACAGUAUCACACUUGAUUUGUAGUGAACUGACUCCCCGAAAAAUAAAAUUACAAAAAGAAAUUACAACUUGUCUUUAUCCGUUGUUACAUUCAAAAAGCUUUACUUCUGAUAAAGUAGUCAAAAGUACAUAGUGCGCUUUCCCCCUGUACCUACUAUGUACAAAACCAACCUUGCUCAUCCACUUCCCUCUCCAGCAAACUCCAGACUCAACUAGAUUUCAAUAGAAGAAAGAACAUAAGAGCCAAAAGGAAAUCAAAUAAGAGGAAUGGGGAUUUAGAGAGAUUACGGUUGUUUUUGUCAGGGUCUGAGUGGUAACAACCUUUAUAAAAAGUUUGAGUCCAACACUACAUUCAGUUCAACCGGUGUAUAGAAGAUGCCAUUUAGGAAAAAUACUUUAUUUGGUUAAUUUUAAGGCAUGUCAAGAUGGUGACCCCAUAUAGGCACUACACAAUAAUACUGGGGCACGAGGGAUUGCUACAUUCUUUAGCACGUGGCUGGAAUCACAGUGUGACCUCAUGCGAACAGAAAACGGAAAAAAAUUGAAAUACUUUUUGGUUAAUUUAUUGACUUGGGUUCUGUCACUGAAGUAUGAUCUAGAUCGACAAAAAUAAGUAAGGUUUGGACGGUCUGUACAACCACAUUGUUUAUACAUUCUACGGAAACGUCUAAAUAAGGAUCCUCCAAAAAAACAAAAAAAGUCAUCUACAGCACUGACACACAACCUUGGGAGCAAACGGCAAUCACGCAAACUUUUUAAUAAAACGUAAACAGGGAAACAAAAUUAAUGAAAUAAAUAUCACAGACGUUCUUAAAUUAAGAUUUUUUUUAACUCAUUUACAAUAAAAAAUAACCAAGUGAAGUUACAAAAAAAAGAGAAAAACAAAAUAUAUAACAAUAUAUAUUACUGUGAAAAGAACAUACACUCCACUUUAUGCAGAUUAAUAAUGGCGACCAUAAUUUAAACAUAAAAGAAUAUAGAUCUAUUGCUUCAUCAUACUUGAUAAAUACAGUAUGGACACAAAUUACCAAUGUAGCCUAUACGUUUUCACAAGAUAAUAAAUAAGUUAAAUAGUCCAUAGCCAGUUA